GGGCUCGUGGUCUAGGGGUUAUGACACCGCUCUCACACAGCGGAGGUCGGGGGUUCGAAUCCCCCCGAGCCCA
rnacentral:tRNA from 1 species